GCAUAUCAAUAAGCGGAGGAAAAGAAACCAACAGGGAUUGCCCCAGUAACGGCGAGUGAAGCGGCAACAGCUCAAAUUUGAAAUCUGGCCCCUAGGGCCCGAGUUGUAAUUUGCAGAGGAUGCUUUUGGCGAGGUGCCUUCCGAGUUCCCUGGAACGGGACGCCAUAGAGGGUGAGAGCCCCGUCUGGUUGGAUGCCGAGCCUCUGUAAAGCUCCUUCGACGAGUCGAGUAGUUUGGGAAUGCUGCUCUAAAUGGGAGGUAUAUGUCUUCUAAAGCUAAAUACCGGCCAGAGACCGAUAGCGCACAAGUAGAGUGAUCGAAAGAUGAAAAGCACUUUGAAAAGAGGGUUAAAUAGUACGUGAAAUUGUUGAAAGGGAAGCACUUAUGACCAGACUUGGACCCGGUGAAUCAUCCAGCGUUCUCGCUGGUGCACUUUGCCGGGCUCAGGCCAGCAUCAGUUUGCCCCGGGGGAUAAAGGCUUUGGGAAUGUGGCUCCCUCGGGAGUGUUAUAGCCCAUUGCACAAUACCCUGGGGCGGACUGAGGUUCGCGCAUCUGCAAGGAUGCUGGCGUAAUGGUCAUCAGUGACCCGUCUUGAAACACGGACC
rnacentral:rRNA from 2 species